rnacentral:tRNA from 1 species
UUUUUGAUACUUUUAGAAAUAGUUUAAUUCUAUUAGGUAUAAAUUCCUUGUCAAAAAA